UGCGGCACUCGGGAACUCUGCUGAGCUGGGCAGUUCGCGCAGCCCGAGCUGCCCGAGCGUGUCAUUGUGUGCGGGCGGCGGGCGGCCACUGCACCAGCCGCUCAACUUUGCCGCUCGCCCCCUCCACCUCCCGCCCGCGGCCGAGAGACCCCGGCCCCGGAGGAAGCCCCGCGCGCCCCGAAGCUCAGCGCGCCCGCUCGGGUCUCCAGAGAGAACAUCGCCUUCCAGCCCCUGGCAAAGGAAAGGAGGAUGCCUUCCAGUUGGAGAGGAGAGAUGGGAAGGGGCCCAGAUCUAACGGGCACCAGAGAGAAGAGGCCAGCUGCUGACCCAGAGGGGCUCGACUCAUUGUGGGCAUUCGAAGGAAAGACAUCUGACCGGCUACCCUUCAUGGACUCGGUUUCCACCUUCUGCUAAUCGCUAGGCUCUUACAGAAGAUCCCAGAGCACAAGAAGGCGGCGUGGGGAGGCUGGCCGGCCAGCUGUGAGUGUUUCUUUGGCAGUGUCUUAGCUGGUUGUUGUGAGUAAUAGAUGAGGAAGCAAUCAGCAAGUAUACUGCCCUAGAAGUGCUACACGUUGUUAGGCCUGUGAGGAUGGACGGGGCCAGCCUGGGACCCCAUCGUCGGAGACCUGGACCCCGCAGCCUGAGCUCAAGAAGGAACCGUUCAGGUCCCUUAGGUAAGUGCUUCCUGGUGAAGAGUGAGGAAGGCGGCGGAUGUGGGCGCUCUCCGGAGAGGUCUCAUUCAGCUAGAAGAAUGUGGAAAGAACGCUGGACUUGAGGACACAGAGGACAUGAGUUCGAAUCCUCUCCUGGGGACUUACCAGUUGUAUGACUUGUUUGAGUAAGUUGUUUCUGUCCCAGACUUUUGUUUUCUGGUGUGUAAAAUGAGCAGGGACCAAAUGGUAUCAAUGUUCCUUCUAGCUCUGAAUCCUGUGGUGCUGAAAGUGUCAGUCAUAGAAAUAAAAGGGACAAGGAAGGAAGGAAAGAGGGAGGGAGGGAGAAAGGGAAAAAAAGG